rnacentral:rRNA from 1 species
CCUACGGGAGGCAGCAGGGGGGAAUAUUGCACAAUGGGGGAAACCCUGAUGCAGCGACGCCGCGUGAGUGAAGAAGUAUUUCGGUAUGUAAAGCGCUAUCAGCAGGGAAGAAAAGGACGGUACCUGAUUAAGAAGCCCCGGCUAACUACGUGCCAGCAGCCGCGGUAAUACGUAGGGGGCAAGCGUUCUCCGGAUUUACUGGGUGUAAAGGGAGCGUAGCCGGCAGCACAAGUCUGGAGUGAUAUGCCGGGGCUUACCCCCUGCACUGCUUUGGAAACGUUGCAGCUAGAGUGCAGGAGAGGUAAGUUGCCUUCCUCGUGUAGCGGUUACAUGCUUAGAUCUUAGGAGGAACCCCAGUGGCGCAGGCGGCUUACUGGACUGUACCUGACGUUGAGGCUCGACCGCGUGGGGAGCACACAGGAUUAGCUACCCGGGUAGUC